AUCAGACCUGUAAUCGGAAA
rnacentral:rRNA from 1 species